rnacentral:rRNA from 1 species
ACGAUGCAGACUCGGUGAUGAGUUGGCUUAUUGCUAACUCAGUGCCGCAGGGGAAGCUGUUAAGUAUGCCGCCUGGGGAGUACGAUCGCAAGAUUGAAACAGUGCCGCAGGGGAAGCCGUAAAGUUUGCCGCCUGGGGAGUACGGUCGCAAGACUGAAACUUAAAUGAAUUGGCGGGGGAGCACCACAAGGGGUGAAGCCUGCGGUUCAAUUGGAGUCAA